GACGUAGGGCGCGAGCGUUGUCCGGAUUCAUUGGGCGUAAAGGGUGCGUAGGCGGUCGGGUAAGUCGGAUGUGAAAUCUCAGGGCUCAACCCUGAAACUGCAUUCGAUACUGCUUGGCUAGGGUACUGGAGAGGAGACUGGAAUUUACGGUGUAGCAGUGAAAUGCGUAGAUAUCGUAAGGAAGACCAGUGGCGAAGGCGAGUCUCUGGACAGUUACCGACGCUGAGGCACGAAGGUCAGGGGAGCAAACGGG
rnacentral:rRNA from 1 species